AUUGAACGCUGGCGGCAGGCCUAACACAUGCAAGUCGAGCGAGCGGCGGACGGGUGAGUAAUGUCUGGGACACUGCCUGAUGGAGGGGGAUAACUACUGGAAACGGUAGCUAAUACCGCAUACCCUCAGAUGUUCCCAGCUGGGAUUAGCGCGUAGGUGGGGUAAUGGCUCACCUAGGCGACGAUCCCUAGCUGUUCUGAGAGGAUGACCAGCCAAACUGGAACGGAGACACGGUCCAGACUCCUACGGUAGGCAGCAGUGGGGAAUAUUGCACAAUGGGCGCAAGCCUGAUGCAGCCAUGCCGCGUGUAUGAAGAAGGCCUUCGGGUUGUAAAGUACUUUCAGCGAGGAGGCGUUACUCGCAGAAGAAGCACCGGCUAACUCCGUGCCAGCCGCCGCGGUAAUAC
rnacentral:rRNA from 1 species